CGCGCCUUUUCUCUUGUCGAGAACAACUUACUGAUCAGAUCGACACGUAUAUUUUGCAUUCAUGAUAUGUAAUUGCAGUUAUCUCUUUUUCUGAUUUAACAUUUUUAUAUUUGUAGAUUUCCUACCAUUUUUCGGAGAUCCAGAGACCAUGAUUUACAUGACCAGAGUUGUCACAAUUUAUUUUUAUUAAACUGAUCAGUACAAUUUCUCACCCCAAAUUGCUUUUUGUUUUAUUUAUGUAUUAUUAAGUCAAAUUUUAUGUUCGUAUGAGUAUAGCGA
rnacentral:lncRNA from 1 species